GAUGAACGCUGGCGGCGUGCCUAACACAUGCAAGUCGAGCGGCGCGAAGCGAAACACGGAGUGUUUCGCUUCGCGUAGCGGCGGACGGGUGAGGAACACGUAGAUAACCUGCCUUAAGGUGAGGGAUAACGGGGAGAAAUUCUCGCUAAUACCACAUAAGCCCACGGUGCGGCAUCGCGCUAUGGGAAAAGAUAUAUUGCCUUGAGAGGGGUCUGCGGCCGAUUAGGUAGUUGGCGGGGUAAAGGCCCACCAAGCCCGCGAUCGGUAGCCGUUCUGAGAGGAAGAUCGGCCACAUUGGGACUGAGACACGGCCCAAACUCCUACGGGAGGCAGCAGUGGGGAAUAUUGCGCAAUGGGCGAAAGCCUGACGCAGCAACGCCGCGUGAGGGAAGACGGUUUUCGGAUUGUAAACCUCUAUCGACGGGGACGAAAAAAAUGACGGUACCCGAAUAAGAAGCGCCGGCUAACUACGUGCCAGCAGCCGCGGUAAUACGUAGGGCGCAAGCGUUAUCCGGAAUUACUGGGCGUAAAGGGUGCGUAGGCGGUUUGGUAAGUCACACGUGAAAGCCCCGGGCUUAACCCGGGAACGGCGUGAGGAACUGUCAGACUUGAGUACAGGAGAGGCAAGCGGAAUUCCCUGUGUAGCGGUGAAAUGCGUAGAUAUAGGGAGGAACACCAGUGGCGAAGGCGGCUUGCUGGACUGAAACUGACGCUGAGGCACGAAAGCGUGGGGAGCAAACAGGAUUAGAUACCCUGGUAGUCCACGCUGUAAACGAUGAGCGCUAGGUGUCGGGGCGAGAGCCUCGGUGCCGGAGCUAACGCAAUAAGCGCUCCGCCUGGGGAGUACGUACGCAAGUAUGAAACUCAAAGGAAUUGACGGGGGCCCGCACAAGCGGUGGAGCAUGUGGUUUAAUUCGAAGCAACGCGAAGAACCUUACCAAGGCUUGACAUACCUCUGACCGCCCAAGAGAUUGGGCUUUCCUUCGGGACAGGGGAUACAGGUGGUGCAUGGUUGUCGUCAGCUCGUGUCGUGAGAUGUUGGGUUAAGUCCCGCAACGAGCGCAACCCUUAUUUUCGGUAGCCAGCGCGUAAUGGUGGGCACUCCGGAGAGACUGCCGCGGACAACGCGGAGGAAGGUGGGGAUGACGUCAAAUCAUCAUGCCCUUUAUGCCUUGGGCAACACACGUGCUACAAUGGCCGACACAAAGCGACGCGAGCCCGCGAGGGGGAGCAAAGCGCAAGAAGGCGGCCUCAGUUCGGAUUGGAGUCUGCAACUCGACUCUAUGAAGCUGGAAUCGCUAGUAAUCGCGAAUCAGAAUGUCGCGGUGAAUACGUUCCCGGGCCUU
rnacentral:rRNA from 2 species